rnacentral:rRNA from 1 species
AAGCGGUGGAGCAUGUGGUUUAAUUCGAUGCAACGCGAAGAACCUUACCUGGUCUUGACAUCCACAGAACUUUCCAGAGAUGGAUUGGUGCCUUCGGGAACUGUGAGACGGGUGCUGCAUGGCUGUCGUCAGCUCGUGUUGUGAAAUGUUGGGUUAAGUCCCGCAACGAGCGCAACCCUUAUCCUUUGUUGCCAGCGAUUAGGUCGGGAACUCAAAGGAGACUGCCGGUGAUAAACUGGAGGAAGGUGGGGAUGACGUCAAGUAAUCAUGGCCCUUACGACCAUGGCUACAAACGUGCUACAAUGGCGCAUACAAAGAGAAGCGACCUCGCGAGAGCAAGCGGACCUCAUAAAGUGCGUCGUAGUCCGGAUUGGAGUCUGCAACUCGACUCCAUGAAGUCGGAAUCGCUAGUAAUCGUGGAUCAGAAUGCCACGGUGAAUACGUUCCCGGGCCUUGUACACACCGCCCGUCACACCAUGG